UACGUAGGGACCAAGCGUUGUUCGGAUUUACUGGGCGUAAAGGGCGCGUAGGCGGCAUGACAAGUCACUUGUGAAAUCUCCGGGCUUAACUCGGAACGGUCAAGCGAUACUGUCGCGCUAGAGUGCGGAAGGGGCAAUCAGAAUUCUUGGUGUAGCGGUGAAAUGCGUAGAUAUCAAGAGGAAUACCUGAGGUGAAGACGGGUUGCUAGGCCGACACUGACGCUGAAGCGCGAAAGCCAGGGGAGCAAACGGG
rnacentral:rRNA from 1 species